GAUGAACGCUGGCGGCGUGCCUAAUACAUGCAAGUCGAGCGAACAGACGAGGAGCUUGCUCAUCUGACGUUAGCGGCGGACGGGUGAGUAACACGUGGUUAACCUACCUAUACGACUGGGAUAACUUCGGGAACCCGGAGCUAAUACCGGAUAAUCUAUUGAACCGCAUGGUUCAAUAGUGAAAGACGGUUUUGCUGUCACUUAUAGAUUGAUCCGCGCCGCAUUAGCUAGUUGGUAACGUAACGGCUUACCAAGCCAACGAGGCGUAACCGACCUGAGAGGGUGAGCGGCCACACUGGAACUGAGACACGGUCCAGACUCCGACGGGAGGCAGCAGUAGGGAAUCUUCCGCAAUGGGCUAAAGCCUGACGGAGCAACGCCGCGUGAGUGAUGAAGGUCUUCGGAUCGUAAAACUCUGUUAUUAGGGAAGACCAAAUGUGUAAGUAACUAUGCACGUCGUGACGGUACCUGAUCAGAAAGCCACGGCUAACUACGUG
rnacentral:rRNA from 1 species